ACCCAUUCUCGCGUUGCCUCACAGGGAAGUGGGUCGGCUUCCGAGAGCCGGCAGGUUUCCGGAGCGGUCGCCCGGCCGGCCUCGCUUGUCCCCCCGUCCCUUGUGUCUCCGACCCCAGAGAUCCGGAACGUCUAACCUGAAGGUGAUGCUCGCCAGCGGCUCCCGAGAUCCCGAGCACUGGUGAAUGCGAAAGAGCCCGGCGCGGUGUCAGGGCGCGGUGUCCGGGCGCUAGCCGGGCUCCCCGGCACCCUGUGUGGGCGGGACCACCUCUCCGGCGCCGCUCGCCCCGCCCAUCCGCCGGGCCCCUGCGCGCGUGCGCACUUCUCUGCCGUGCCCGCGGUCUCGGAGCCGGCGCGCCGCGGCCGUCUCUCUCGGGCUUCAGCGGGCUUAUGCUGCUUUAUUUGCAUGGGACGGAUGUCAGCCCUAGUGCAACGUCAUUUAUACCCUCUCAGGAUCCUCCCUCAGGAGGAGUUUUGAUAGUAGUCAGAGCAAAAGACUGGAGUCUACAGAAAUAUCAGGAUAAGCCUGGGCAGAACUAGGAGAGAAGUGGGCAUCAACAGACACUGGACUUACAGCUGGAUGCAGUGAGUGUUGAAACCUGAGGUUGUCUUUUUGGGAGGAGGCAGAGGGGAGGAGCAGAGGAAGAGAGAAUCCUGAAGCAGACUCUCUGCUGUACAGGGAACCCAAUCUGGGUCUCAAUUCCAAGGCCCCGAGAUCAUGACCUGAGCCAAAAUCAAGUGUCAACCACUUAACCAACUGAGCCAUCCAGAGAAAGCACAAGCAGGAGGAGUGGCAGGAAGAGAGAGAAAGAGAAGCAGCCUUCCCAUUGAACAGGAAGCCCAAUGUGGGGCUCAAUCCCAGGACCCUGGGAUCAUGACCAGAGCUGAAGGCAGACACUCAGCCAACUGAGACACCUAAGCACCCUAGAUUUUCACUUUUGAUCACCUACUCAAGUAUUUUGUCCAUAUUUUGAUCGAAGUUUCUGGUUUUUUGUUAUAUUACAACUGUUGUUUAUAUAUUGUG